GGUCAGUUUCAAAAGGAAAUACUUUGUUUAGGGCAGCAUUACACAGUUUCAAACCAAUUAUAUGCUGAGAUUUUCAAACAUAUUAUCUGCCGAGAUUUUCAUACCCACUAUUUGUCGAGAUUUCAAUCCCCUUAUUUCCCGAGAUUUUCAAUCCCAUUGUUAUGGUAAAAAUGGUUUUACAGGAGAUAUUGAAUUGCAAAUGAAAUUUUUUCAAAAAAUCCAUGCAAAUUGGAUCUUAAGAUUUAAAGCGUAAUUCAUAUAUAAAUGAAAUUUAGC
rnacentral:lncRNA from 1 species